rnacentral:rRNA from 1 species
UACGUAGGGACCAAGCGUUGUUCGGAUUUACUGGGCGUAAAGGGCGCGUAGGCGGCGCGGUAAGUCACUUGUGAAAUCUCUGAGCUUAACUCAGAACGGCCAAGUGAUACUGCAGUGCUAGAGUGUGGAAGGGGCAAUCGGAAUUCUUGGUGUAGCGGUGAAAUGCGUAGAUAUCAAGAGGAACACCUGAGGUGAAGACGGGUUGCUGGGCCAAUACUGACGCUGAGGCGCGAAAGCCAGGGGAGCAAACGGG